GUGGUCAGUUAGACAAUAUAUAUACGAAAAUUGGAACCAUACAGAGAAGAUCAGCAUAGCCCCUGUGCAAGGAUGGCAUGCAAAUUUGUGAAGUGUUCCCUGAUUUG